rnacentral:rRNA from 1 species
UACGAAGGGGGCUAGCGUUGCUCGGAAUCACUGGGCGUAAAGCGCACGUAGGCGGACUCUUAAGUCGGUGGUGAAAUCCUGGAGCUCAACUCCAGAACUGCCUCCGAUACUGCGAGUCUCCGAGUCCGGGAGAGGUGAGUGGAACUGCGAGUGUAGAGGUGAAAUUCGUAGAUAUUCGCGAGAACACCAGUGGCGAAGGCGGCUCACUGGCCCGGUACUGACGCUGAGGUGCGAAAGCGUGGGGAGCAAACAGG